rnacentral:tRNA from 1 species
GAGAGCGUGCAACACUGGUGUGUGCCUUGGGCUUCAAACCCACAGAGCGUUUAGGUGUCUAGGCGCUGCAAAGUUCGAUUCUUUGGCUCUC